rnacentral:rRNA from 1 species
CCUACGGGAGACUGCAGUAGGGAAUCUUUCACAAUGGGCGAAAGCCUGAUGGAGCAACGCCGCGUGCAGGAUGAAGGCCUUCGGGUUGUAAACUGCUUUUAUAAGCGAGAAAUAUGAUGGUAACUUAUGAAUAAGGAUCGGCUAACUACGUGCCAGCAGCCGCGGUCAUACGUAGGAUCCGAGCAUUAUCCGGAGUGACUGGGUGUAAAGAGUUGCGUAGGUGGCAUAAUAAGUAGCUAGUGAAAUCUGGUGGCUCAACCAUUCAGACUAUUAGCUAAACUGUUAAGCUCGAGACCGUUAGGGGUAACUGGAAUUUCUAGUGUAGGAGUGAAAUGCGUAGAUAUUAGAAGGAACACCAAUAGCGUAGGCAGGUUACUGGGACGGUUCUGACACUAAGGCACGAAAGCGUAGGGAGCAAACGGGAUUAGAUACCCUUGUAGUC